rnacentral:rRNA from 1 species
AAAUUGAAGAGUUUGAUCAUGGCUCAGAUUGAACGCUGGCGGCAGGCCUAACACAUGCAAGUCGAGCGGUAACACAGAGAGCUUGCUCUCGGGUGACGAGCGGCGGACGGGUGAGUAAUGUCUGGGAAACUGCCUGAUGGAGGGGGAUAACUACUGGAAACGGUAGCUAAUACCGCAUAACGUCGCAAGACCAAAGUGGGGGACCUUCGGGCCUCAUGCCAUCAGAUGUGCCCAGAUGGGAUUAGCUAGUAGGUGGGGUAAUGGCUCACCUAGGCGACGAUCCCUAGCUGGUCUGAGAGGAUGACCAGCCACACUGGAACUGAGACACGGUCCAGACUCCUACGGGAGGCAGCAGUGGGGAAUAUUGCACAAUGGGCGAAAGCCUGAUGCAGCCAUGCCGCGUGUAUGAAGAAGGCCUUCGGGUUGUAAAGUACUUUCAGCGAGGAGGAAGGCAUCAAGGUUAAUAACCUUGGUGAUUGACGUUACUCGCAGAAGAAGCACCGGCUAACUCCGUGCCAGCAGCCGCGGUAAUACGGAGGGUGCAAGCGUUAAUCGGAAUUACUGGGCGUAAAGCGCACGCAGGCGGUCUGUCAAGUCGGAUGUGAAAUCCCCGGGCUCAACCUGGGAACUGCAUUCGAAACUGGCAGGCUAGAGUCUUGUAGAGGGGGGUAGAAUUCCAGGUGUAGCGGUGAAAUGCGUAGAGAUCUGGAGGAAUACCGGUGGCGAAGGCGGCCCCCUGGACAAAGACUGACGCUCAGGUGCGAAAGCGUGGGGAGCAAACAGGAUUAGAUACCCUGGUAGUCCACGCCGUAAACGAUGUCGAUUUGGAGGUUGUGCCCUUGAGGCGUGGCUUCCGGAGCUAACGCGUUAAAUCGACCGCCUGGGGAGUACGGCCGCAAGGUUAAAACUCAAAUGAAUUGACGGGGGCCCGCACAAGCGGUGGAGCAUGUGGUUUAAUUCGAUGCAACGCGAAGAACCUUACCUGGUCUUGACAUCCACAGAACUUUCCAGAGAUGGAUUGGUGCCUUCGGGAACUGUGAGACAGGUGCUGCAUGGCUGUCGUCAGCUCGUGUUGUGAAAUGUUGGGUUAAGUCCCGCAACGAGCGCAACCCUUAUCCUUUGUUGCCAGCGGUUCGGCCGGGAACUCAAAGGAGACUGCCAGUGAUAAACUGGAGGAAGGUGGGGAUGACGUCAAGUCAUCAUGGCCCUUACGACCAGGGCUACACACGUGCUACAAUGGCAUAUACAAAGAGAAGCGACCUCGCGAGAGCAAGCGGACCUCAUAAAGUAUGUCGUAGUCCGGAUUGGAGUCUGCAACUCGACUCCAUGAAGUCGGAAUCGCUAGUAAUCGUAGAUCAGAAUGCUACGGUGAAUACGUUCCCGGGCCUUGUACACACCGCCCGUCACACCAUGGGAGUGGGUUGCAAAAGAAGUAGGUAGCUUAACCUUCGGGAGGGCGCUUACCACUUUGUGAUUCAUGACUGGGGUGAAGUCGUAACAAGGUAACCGUAGGGGAACCUGCGGUUGGAUCACCUCCUUACCUUAAAGAA